rnacentral:lncRNA from 1 species
GUGGCUAAAUGAAGAUGGUAAGAUCUGAGCAGAUAUGUAGUUCAGAAAAUAAAUUUUUGACUUUUUAUUGUAAGGAGACUUGAGUUGAGCAUGUGGCAAACUUCUCCUUUCCUGUUUUCAUCCCUCCUCUUCGUCUUGGCAGUGAACCCUAUCAUCCAGCACUAUUUGUGCUGUGGUCCAUGAUGCUCUGGCCAAUGACCUGGUGUGUAGGUCACAGCCAGUAAGUGAGACUCUGCUUGUGCCAGUAAUUUAUAUACACUGAUAUGUGUUUGCCAUUCAUAUGAAGUGAUAGUGACAUCAUGCAUUUCCUCUUUUGACCUCUCUUGAAGAAAUGCCCACUUCUCCUAGUGUCCUCUUCAAAAUGUCCCUGGUAAGUAGGGCUGGAUAACCCUAUUCACCAGGGAUGGGAAAAGCCAAGAGUUUCCCAAAGAAUGGCCACCAAUACUCUGAUAACAAACCAGCACCAAUCCAAGAGAUCCUUCUAUGCUAGCAAUGGAAAGAACAAGACAAGUGGAGGACCCCUCUUCAAAGAUCAUGGCUUGCUUUGGAACCAUAAACCUACAACGACGUGAUAUUUAAAAAGAGGUCCUUUUUAAAUCUUAAUGGCCUCCUGACAGGUCCUCAGUAGCCUCGGUCACAGAGCUG